AUGCUGAGCCCUGGCAGAGCCCCUCAGCUCCGGGACAGCCCACGGGACACACAGGGAGCCGCAGUUUGGGAUGUAUCGGGUGGCGGGAGAGCGGGAGAGGCAGGAGGGGAACUCGCUGCUGCCUUCCCCAGCCCAAAUCCCAAAGGAGAGCGCAGAACGAGCGGGAGAGGGCGGCACAAAACACCCAAAAAGGUGACAAAGCACUGCGGGGGCAGCAUGACGCCAGCGGAGCCCAAACUCCGCUCCCAGCUGUGCCGUUAUCAUCGGUAUCAGGGAAUGACUGAGGUGGGAAUGUCCCAUAAACCCAUCCCGUUCCACUCCUUGCCGUGGGCAGGGCUACCUUCUCCUCGCCGAGGUUGCUCCAAGCCCCGUCCAGCCUGGCCGGGGGCACUUCCAGGGAUGGGGAAUGGAGUUACCCGGGUGCAGGAGAACCCGCACAUCCCAUCUCCCCCUUCUCCGUGCCCGAGCAGCGCUGCUUCCCCCAUUGCGGCUCCCGGAGCAUCCCUAAAUCCCUCCCAGCAGAUCCCUGCGGGGCGAGGCACCCCGCGCCACAUCCCAAACCUUCUGCGCUGCUUCCAUGGAUUGUUUUCCCCCCCUCGCAAUUCCUGGCAGCAGGCGAAGGGAGCAGCGCCUUACCUUAGUGGGCGGCGCGUUCCCGGUGCGUGUUCCCGGUGUGUGUUCCCGGUGUGUGUUCCCGGUGUUCCCGGUGUGUGUUCCCGGUGUUCGUGUCCGGUGCGUGUUCCCGGUGCGUGUUCCCGGUGUGCGUUCCCGGUGCGUGUUCCCGGUGUGCGUUCCCGGUGUUCCCGCUGGAGCCGGGCGGCGCCGCGGCGGGGCCGUAACGGGCGCGGGCGGCCCGGGCGCGCUGUGCCCCGAUCAUUGGUCCAGCUCACGGAGCCGCUGCUUUCAAAUCGCGCUCGGAAGGAAACAGGAAGCCCCAGAGCUGCUCGCCAGAGCCUCCCGCGCCCACCCCCGCCCACUGCUCGCCUCUCCCCUCGCCAGACGCCGGGAAUGGGGAAUGGGGAAUGGGGAAUGGGGAAUGGGGCUUUUCCCGCAUCCGGCGGAAACCGGGAGCAUCCCGAAGCGCCGGGGUCUCGGCGGGGAGUUGCUGGAGAUGAUCGGUUUCGCGUUACUUGUCAUUUUUCAUCGUAUCCGCGGUGA
rnacentral:lncRNA from 1 species